rnacentral:rRNA from 1 species
AUUGAACGCUGGCGGCAGGCCUAACACAUGCAAGUCGAACGCGUGGCGGACGGGUGUGAUGUGUGUGGGACACUGCCUGAGGGAGGGGUAAAUCUUGUGGAAACGGUAUCUAAUACCGCAUAACAUGGGGUGCGCACAUAUGGGAGUAGCUAGUAGGUGGGGUAAUGGCUCACCUGGGCGACGAUCCCUAGCUGGUCUGAGAGGAUGAACAGCCACACUGGGACUGAGACACGGCCAAGACUCCUACGGGAGGCAGCAGUGGGGAAUAUUGCACAAUGGGCGCAAGCCUGAUGCAGCCAUGCCGCGUGUAUGAAGAAGGCCCUCGGGUUGUAAAGUACUUUCAGCGGGGAGGCGUUACCCACAGAAGAAGCACCGGCUAACUCCGUGCCAGCAGCCGCGGUAAUUC